UAUCUAUCUCCUCUUAAAUGGCCAAAUAUAUUAUUUUAAUUUUUUUUUCUUUUUUGUUUUGUUGGGUUAAACUUCUCUCACCUUGAGCCCUGGAGCUGUUCCUCCGUCGGCGACUCUCUGUCCACCAGGCAAAAGGAAACAGUGUUCGAAGCGGAGAUUUCAAGCAAAUAUGAAACAGAGGAAAGAUGGGUGUGGGAAAAAGACAGAGGAGGCCGAAGCCUCUCGCUCCGAUUAAACACGGUGGAGAACCGUUCCAGUUAUCUGCAAUUUCACAGAGCCGGGUGUCCAAAGCCAGCCGUAGUUCCGUCGUCAGUGUACUGUCCCAUCUACCCACCUCGGAGGCGUCCCGGCCGUGGCCAUCAAACACCGAGAUCCGUAUGAAGAUUCGACUCCCAAACCCUAGCCACCGUAAUCGACUUUGCAUCUCCGCCUUCUCACAGGUCCGAGCCACCAUGUGCUCCUCGUUUUCCCUACCGUUUAGGAGUGAGUCCACGCCGGACAAGAAAUCCAACAAGGAGAACCGCCAUCUCCAAGUGAGCACCACCGUCAACAUGCUCUCCCCCAACUGUCGCUACAAACCCUAAGCGGUCCCGAUAAAUGACCAGCAGAUCCGACCGCAACUCCGUCGCCUUCUAACAGCGUACCGCUGCCAACGACCCGACGAGUCACCAGAACCACCGAGCUUUCCUAUGGGUCCGGCUUAGGACACAGCUAAGCAAAUGUCUGUGAAUUGUCUGUGAAUGUCUGUUCAUUCACCAUCAUCAUGAUUCACCAUCAUCAUGUCUUUCAUCAUCUUGUCUUUAUCAAAAAAAAUGUCUGUGAAUUGAGAAGAGGAAGCAAGACCUCGUAAAGUUUUUGUGGCAAAAAACAAGAGAUUUUUAGUUUUUAUAAGGAUAUAUUUGGGAUUUUUGAAAGUGGUACAGUAGAUUUCCAUAUAGCUAAUUAAAGUUUUGUUUUAGGCUAUGUGAUGCAAAUUCCCUUUUAGUUAUAUACAGAUGUUGAGUUUAUCUUCUUUUUUUUAGGACAGCUAAGAUUCAUUUGUUUUUGGAAUUUCCAGUGUGUGGUAUAUUUCAUAAUUUAUAAAAUGUGUUUACAAAAAAAAAGGUAAAAAUAAUAGUACAUCGCCAGGUAUCUCUAUGCUAUAAUUUGCAUUUGAUUUUUUCAAGCAGAAAUGAUACGUUGUUGUAUACCACAAAAAUCUCUUUUAUCAGUGGAGAAAAUACAUUUCCAUUUCUAGGGAAAAUUAUUCCAGAAUUAGAGUUUCAAAUAGUGAAACCAUUUAGGCCAGGAACUAAACUAAAUUUAGUUAAUAUUUAUGUAUUAUAAAAUAUAAGAUUCAAUUUUCAUUAAAAGUAUAAAAAAUAAUAAUGUAUAUUUUUAAUAAAUAUGAACAGGACCAUUAACUAUGGUAUUACGUAUGUAAAUUAUAACCAACUUUAAAUUUAAUGUAUACAAUUGAGUAAAAUGUUAUGAUAAAAAUAUUAGAAAAUAAUUUAACAAGCAUCUUGAGGAAAUAUUGACAAAUCAUUUAUAUGUUUAUAUUGGAACAUUUCUUUCUUUCUUUUUUUUCAAAACUCAAUAUAUUAAGGUCCUCUUAAACCAUAAAUAUUUAUUGAAAUAACAUUUAAAUAGUUUUAAGUAGGCUAGAAAAUUGAAACA